rnacentral:rRNA from 1 species
UACGAAGGGGGCUAGCGUUGCUCGGAAUCACUGGGCGUAAAGGGCGCGUAGGCGGCGUUUUAAGUCGGGGUGAAAGCCUGUGGCUCAACCACAGAAUGGCCUUCGAUACUGGGACGCUUGAGUCUGGUAGAGGUUGGUGGAACUGCGAGUGUAGAGGUGAAAUUCGUAGAUAUUCGCAAGAACACCAGUGGCGAAGGCGACUCACUGGCCCGAU